UUGCAGCCAAUGAAGCCCACGGUGCUCUUUCCCUGCGGGGGCCAGGUGUGCAACAGCUGUAAACAGCAGCCCCCUGGGUAGCGUAUGCAGCCUGUUGCUGGUGUAGGUUACCCUAAGGAACCUUGGAGACAGCC
ensembl:snoRNA SNORA70 Small nucleolar RNA SNORA70